AUUGAACGCUGGCGGCAUGCCUUACACAUGCAAGUCGAACGGCAGCACGGGAGCAAUCCUGGUGGCGAGUGGCGAACGGGUGAGUAAUAUAUCGGAACGUGCCCAGUGAUGGGGGAUAGCCCGGCGAAAGCCGGAUUAAUACCGCAUACGACCUACGGGUGAAAGCAGGGGAUCGCAAGACCUUGCGUCAUUGGAGCGGCCGAUAUCAGAUUAGCUUGNGGUGGGUAAAGCCUACCAAGGCGACGAUCUGUAGCUGGUCUGAGAGGACGACCAGCCACACUGGGACUGAGACACGGCCCAGACUCCUACGGGAGGCAGCAGUGGGGAAUUUUGGACAAUGGGCGCAAGCCUGAUCCAGCCAUGCCGCGUGCGGGAAGAAGGCCUCGG
rnacentral:rRNA from 1 species